AAUCCAGGUCUUCCAGUCAAUCAGUGUCUUCCAGAAAGAAAUCCAGGUCUUCCAGUCAGUGUCUUCCAGAAAAAUCUAUGUCUUCCACCAAAUCCAGGUCUUCCAGUCAAUCCACAUCUUCCGGAAAAAAUCCAGGUCUUCCAGCCAAUAUAUGUCUUCCUGAAGAUCCAUGUCUUCCAGAAAAUCCAUGUCUUCCAGAAAAUCCACGUCUUCCAGUAACCUCCCAGUCUUCCAGAAAAUCCACGUCUUCCCAACAAUCCAGGUCUUCCGGAUAAUUUGGGUCUUCCUGAAAAUCUACGUCUUCCAAAAAAGCCAUGUCUUCCAGAAAAUCCACAUCUUCCAAUGGCCUCCAGGUCUUCCAGACUAUCCAUGUCUUCCAGAAAAUCCUUGUCUUCCCUCAAAUCUAUAGCUUCCAAAAAAUCCGGGUCUUCCAGGAAAUCCGUGUCUUCCAGCAAGUCCACGUCUUCCAACAAAGCCAUGUCUUCCAGACUAUCCACGUCUUCCAGAAAAUCCUUGUCUUCCCUCAAAUCCAUAGCUUCCGAAAAAUCCAGGUCUUCCAGGAAAUCCGUGUCUUCCAGCAAAUCCACGUCUUCCAACAAAGCCAUGUCUUCCAUCAAAUUAAUGUCUUCCAGCCUACUUGUGUCUUCCAACAAAGGUGUGUCUUCCAACAAAGGUCUUCCAGCAUCUCCAGGGCUUCCAGCAUCUGCUCGUCUUCCAACAUCUCCACGUCUUCCAGCAUCUCUACGUCUUCCAGCAUCUUCAUGUCUUCCAACAACUACCCAGUCUUCCAUCAACUGGCUCAAUAUCCAUGUCUUCCAACGUCUCCAGUGUGCUGAUCUUCUGACAUUCAGGUCUUCC
rnacentral:lncRNA from 1 species